rnacentral:lncRNA from 1 species
CCCAAAAAAAAAAUUUCGGGGCCUACCAACCCCCGUAACAGUUCAGCCCCCCCAAAAAAAAUCCUGGCUCCGCCACUGGCUCCCAUCCUCAAUCAUCUCCACCAACGUCAUGAUCCCGCCUUCUUCAAUCGCAUCUUGCCUUAUCUCAAUCGCCGCCAAGCUUCUCAAAACAACCAUCGUCUUCUCCACCAAUCCAAUCCCGUGUUUAGGCACUACCAGCCCCACCAACUGAUAUAGAUAGACAACAGUAUCAAAUGAAUAUGUAUUAUAUUAGCAUGAAAAGGCAUUAACAAAAAUAGCAGUUCAUAGCUGAAGGCAACUGUUCUAGCUGAGCUACACUCUACACAAAUAGUCGCAACAAACACAUCUCAUAACCUUUUAGGGAUUGUCAUCGUUUGCAGCUAUGUUUGAUUAAGUGUUGUUCGAUGUCUUGCAUUUGUGGCAGGUUAAUGGUAACAAACAGAGAGAAACCUUAAUAUGACAAAAGAAAUUCGCAUAGUAACUAAAAUCAAUAGAUAUUUUUGUGAGACGUAACUCAUACCUUAGAUCCCUCUUCCUAACUCAAUCUUGAAUUACAACUGACUACUUUACCUUCUUCUUUCUUAUGUUUCUCGAGCAGUUAAGCGCCUCUAUUGUUGGAACUAUUGUUGGAGAAGUGCCGAUGACUCAGUGGAGAUGCGGCGGGCCAGCCAUUGGUGGCGGUCGGCAAAGAGAAACUGACAGAGGGAUUGCGACAGCAACGACGAGAAACCGGCGCCGAAUAGGUUCGAGGAGAAGGUUAAAGAAAGGGAAU